rnacentral:rRNA from 1 species
UACGUAGGGGGCAAGCGUUGUCCGGAUUUAUUGGGCGUAAAGAGCGUGUAGGCGGCCAUACAGGUCCGUUGUGAAAACUGGAGGCUUAACCUCCAGACGUCGAUGGAAACCGUAUGGCUAGAGUCCGGAAGAGGAGAGUGGAAUUCCGUGGUGUAGCGGUGAAAUGCGCAGAUAUCAGGAAGAACACCCGUGGCGAAGGCGGCUCUCUGGGACGGUACUGACGCUGAGACGCGAAAGCGUGGGGAGCGAACAGG